rnacentral:pre_miRNA from 1 species
AGUGGGAUUGCUGGGUCAAAUGGUGGUUUCAUUCCAAGUUUUCUGAGGAAUCUCCAUACUGUUUUCCAUGGUAGUUGUACCAGUUUGUAAUCCCAUCAGCAAU